AGGAUGGUCUUCUUGACGUUGACAGACUU
rnacentral:piRNA from 1 species